rnacentral:rRNA from 1 species
AGCGAAGCUGGCGGCAGGCCUAACACAUGCAAGUCGAACGAACCUUUCGGGGUUAGUGGCGGACGGGUGAGUAACACGUGGGAACGUGCCUUUAGGUUCGGAAUAACUCAGGGAAACUUGUGCUAAUACCGAAUGUGCCCUUCGGGGGAAAGAUUUAUCGCCUUUAGAGCGGCCCGCGUCUGAUUAGCUAGUUGGUUGAGGUAAUGGCUCACCAAGGCGACGAUCAGUAGCUGGUCUGAGAGGAUGAUCAGCCACAUUGGGACUGAGACACGGCCCAAACUCCUACGGGAGGCAGCAGUGGGGAAUCUUGCGCAAUGGGCGAAAGCCUGACGCAGCCAUGCCGCGUGAAUGAUGAAGGUCUUAGGAUUGUAAAAUUCUUUCACCGGGGACGAUAAUGACGGUACCCGGAGAAGAAGCCCCGGCUAACUUCGUG